AAGGAUGCCGCCGCCGAACCCCCCGGCCCACCAUUGCACCCAAAGAUGAUAGAGCAGGGUUAUAUAAUCGUUGAUUGCACCCUUCUUCACGGCGGGCUUGUGAUCUUUGCUUAUGAUGUCUCGACAAUUCGAGGGACAUAACGGGUAACAGCCGCCGCCUUCCUUCCCGGACACGAAUCUGAGCUCGAAAAAUCUCCUGGUCACUGGGCCUAGUGUGUCCCGCGGGCCAUAUUUUGGAGACCAAUCCCUUACAAGAUCAAAACCAAAAACGUACAGAAGUGUUAAAAUUAUUGUCUUUAUUAUUGUGGUGAGUAAAGAUCUAUUAAAAAUGAGUCUAAUAACUUUCUAAUGUACCGACAUAAACUUGAUUUCCCAAUGGCCGUUGAGGGGAGAACAGAAAAUAACAUUUUCACGACAGAAUAGCGACUGAAAAUAAUAAUAAUAUUUUCUCACCUUUCGUUUUUAUUGGGGAACCUAAAGAAUGACAGGUCGGGUCGUCUAUAUUUACAAUUAGAACAAUUGAUAGCAGAGCAGUGAGAUGAAGAUUUAGAUAAGGACGCCAUGACAGUGUGGGGGAAGCCCAUUAAAAUGGCGUCGACGAUCACACACGUGAUACUACGCGUUAUUCGAGGAGUGAGUGGUCUAUCUUGCUCCAUUACCAUCGGAGCCUGCGGUCGACGCUCGGAGUCACGUGAGUGAUUCCGUGAAGAAGCCCCGCCAGUUCGCAUGGCGAAGCAGCACCGGACUGGCAGGGCAUCGCAUCGCUGCUGCGGGCGGUACGUUUAAAUCUACAGGUCCAUUGGAAGGGCCGUAUCAGCGCAGGUGUCCUCAGGGGCCUGCGGCAGCACCUGUUCAGGGUUGCCUAGGAAUCGCCCUCUCUGAGGAGGGAGUGACUCCAGAUUCUAAAGAUGUCGGUGGAACAUACUGGAGCACAUGCGUGCCGGCAGUGAACAGCGCUAUCAGGGGGAUAUGAGAGCCAGCCGUCGAAUCUUCUGUUCAGGUAAGGCCUGUUCAACAAUACUAGCAUUCCAAGCAAGUUUGGAAUUAGGGCCAGAAUUGUCGUGUUCAAGACAGGCUCGGAAAUCGGGCCAGAGUAAUCGUGCGAUGCACCCAUGAAAUGAUGGCAGGAGUGGUCUGUUCAUUAUGAAAAAUGGAGAAUGUCGUUUAACUCGCAUAUGAACUUUCAAAAUAGGAAACUUCUUUACUGACGACAACGGAUUCAUAAGGGUCUCAAAGAUCCAUUCUAUGCAGUUCCCAUUACAGGGGUCAUUGGAGACAUUGGAAAUUAUCAAAAGGCAAUGAUAACUAUACUAAUAACAGUAAAACAUUGCAAAAUGGAAUAAACUAUUUCCCCAGGUUAUUUAACUAAUUAAUAAAAUCGAUGUUUGGACUCGGUUCGAGAACACUUGUUAUGUCUUGUCUGGAUGAUAUUCUAAUGCUGUAUUCUGUUAAAAAAAUCACAUGAUUCAGCCUCCAACUAUAUUUGAGAAAUUGUGUUCAUCCAUCCAGUUAACUUUAAGUUUUUACCAAAUAGACUUGUUGGUCAUUGGGAUUUACCUUUAACUAUUAAUUAGCUUAUGACUCCGACUUGUGGCACAAGAUUGGAAUUAAUAGAAACCUGUUAUAAAGCUGAAUUCUAUUCAUCACGAUUAAUUGGCAAUAUAGUAGCUGUGAUUCAGCUGUGCAAAUCGGGGAACUGACAUCGUGCAAAGUAGCUACCUCUCAAAUGACAUAUAGGUCAUUGUUAACAGGGUUAUGCUAUGACCAGCUGAAGCUACCUAAGCACAUGGCAAUCAAAUAAAAGUAUCCUGUAAUAUUUACCUAAUUUCCUUUGUCACUGGUGUAUCAUCAAGUUCAAUUUCAUGACAACACAGAAUAAGUGUUGGAUCACAAAGUAUUUAUGAAUGUAUGGUUCAAUGGAACACCGAAUAUUGACAUGUUGGUUCAUGCUUUCACUGAUUGCAAAAAUAUGUGGCAUAACAGUGGUGAGAGAUACAUUCUCGCUACAAGAAGGAGGAAUGUUCUUUUAUGUCUUCCUCCAUUUUGCCUCAUCAGUCGCGUCUUGAAAUAAAGUCAACAAGAUCUCGCUUUAGUUUUUGUACUGUCUGAUUGGCUAUGCAGCCAUGCUUUCCGCUUCUGUCAGGCAUAAUAAUACAACCAUAUACGGUUAUUAUAAAAAACGAAAACUUUGCUGGUUCAAACUGUGGUUCAGGAAACCAGCCUCUGCAUAAUAAAGCAAUUAUUGGCUUACUCAUUCUAACUGGACUGCCUUAUGGCUCAGAUUGUCACAUCAAUCCAUGGUAGUGCUCACUGCAGAUUGCAGGGAUAGCACCAACAAAGCAGUACAUUUCCUAUUGAGGAGAUCGGAAGCGGUUUGUUAGAUUGUUACAUUGAAUACGGCACAGAUUACUGACGUUUUCCAGUUCAUGCUUAAAUGUUAUUUGACAAUAAUUCAGUUAUAGGGCCAUUAACUGUGCCCAAUGUACCUUCCCAUCAUAUUAGCUGCAGUAAACGGGACCCACUCUGUCGGGUUUCAACCCCGGAUAUCGAGUUUGUAAAAUAUAUCUUUAACACAAGUGCUCCCAGUACAAGUAUAGGCAGUAUUAGAUAUUGACAGUGUGUUAACAAUACUUCACCAGAGGGCUCCAGCUACAUCCUUAGUCAUAUUUCGACAUACCCCACGGACGCACGUCUAUGUGUACGGGCACGCUUGCUAUAUUAUAUCAAGGCCACCAGAACCCUAAGAAGUGUGGAAUCAGCAUUGUUUAUUAGCCACUAACAACCACACAAGAAAAGGUCGGUUCAGACUAUUUCAAGGUGUUCUGGUUUAUGCGGGUAUUAACACUACCAAUUUUACAUCUCAUUCCAUCAGGGCGGCAUCAACGUAGGCGGCCAGGGCAAUGGAUGUUCCCAUCGACCAUAUCCUAGCGGCCGCAGGAUGGUUAAGGGAGUUGAUUUUCAAAACAUUUUUACCAUAGGCCGAUUGCCGACCUGGGGCUAUUUGCCCAUUCUGUUUUGCGUCCACUUUAGCCUCCCCUGAGAUUGAUUUUCUUUGUUAACGUAAACCAUUAAUACGUUUAAAUCAAUGUCAUGGUUAAUGCAUUGUUGAUUAUUCACUCAUCCUGAGUCAAUCGAUGCAGUGAGACGCCGGGAUUUGAAUCUACGGCAUGAAAUCACAGAGCUUUGAACUCUUCACGGAAUCACACGUGACUCCGAAGUAAAAUAGUAAGAUUAAACGAGCUUACCAGUUUGAAGUUUGAUCUUUAUUUUAUGAGGUUGGUGAUUACGUGCCCUGCACUCCCAACCCUCUCUCAAAAAGGUAAUCUGGUAGUUCUCAAG